rnacentral:tRNA from 1 species
GCGCCCGUAGUUCAGCUGGAUAGAGCGUCAGGCUUCGAACCUGAAUGUCGGGAGUUCGAAUCUCUCCGGGCGCGCCA